rnacentral:rRNA from 1 species
CAAUAGCGUAUAUUAACGUUGUUGCAGUUAAAAAGCUCGUAGUUGGAUUUCUGGAGGGAGCGUCGGCCCGUAUUUACGAGUGCGUGACGUCUCUGUCCAUCCUUGCGGGAAGGCACGGGAUUGAUUUGUUGUGUCGGAUCGCAUCAUUUACUGUGAAAAAAUUAGAGUGUUCAAAGCAGGCUUUCGCUUGAAUACAUUAGCAUGGAAUAAUAAGAUAGGACUUUGGUGCUAUUUUGUUGGUUGAGCCUAAAGUAAUGAUUAAUAGGGAUAGUUGGGGGCACCUGUAUUGCGUUGUCAGAGGUGAAAUUCUUGGAUUUACGCAAGACAAACAGCUGCGAAAGCGUCUGCCAAGGAUGUUUNCAUUAA